rnacentral:rRNA from 1 species
CCUACGGGAGGCAGCAGUGGGGAAUUUUGGACAAUGGGCGCAAGCCUGAUCCAGCCAUGCCGCGUGAGUGAAGAAGGCCUUCGGGUUGUAAAGCUCUUUCGGAGACCGUACGGUACUCACAGAAGAAGCACCGGCUAACUACGUGCCAGCAGCCGCGGUAAUACGUAGGGUGCAGGCGUUAAUCGGAAUUACUGGGCGUAAAGCGUGCGCAGGCGGUUUGCUAAGACAGGUGUGAAAUCCCCGGGCUUAACCUGGGAAUUGCGCUUGUAACUGGCAAGCUAGAGUGUGGCAGAGGGGGGUGGAAUUCCACGUGUAGCAGUGAAAUGCGUAGAUAUGUGGAGGAACACCGAUGGCGAAGGCAGCCCCCUGGGUUAAACUGACGCUCAUGCACGAAAGCGUGGGGAGCAAACAGGAUUAGAUACCCUUGUAGUC